rnacentral:pre_miRNA from 1 species
UUCGCAGUAUAAUACUGCGAAUUGCUUUAACAGAAAUUUAGCCGUUAAAGCAAUUCGCAGUAUUAUAUUGCGAA